AUUGAACGCUGGCGGCAGGCCUAACACAUGCAAGUCGAACGAGCGGCGGACGGGUGAGUAAUGUAUGGGGAACUGCCUGAUGGAGGGGGAUAACUACUGGAAACGGUGGCUAAUACCGCAUACUAUCGGAUGAACCCAUAUGGGAUUAGCUAGUCGGUGGGGUAAAGGCUCACCUAGGCGACGAUCUCUAGCUGGUCUGAGAGGAUGAACAGCCACACUGGAACUGAGACACGGCCCAGACUCCUACGGGAGGCAGCAGUGGGGAAUAUUGCACAAUGGGCGCAAGCCUGAUGCAGCCAUGCCGCGUGUAUGAAGAAGGCCUUAGGGUUGUAAAGUACUUUCAGCGGGGAGGCGUUACCCGCAGAAGAAGCACCGGCUAACUCCGUGCCAGCAGCCGCGGUAAUUC
rnacentral:rRNA from 1 species